UGGGGAAUAUUGCACAAUGGGCGCAAGCCUGAUGCAGCCAUGCCGCGUGUGUGAAGAAGGCCUUCGGGUUGUAAAGCACUUUCAGCGAGGAGGAAGGUGGUGAGCUUAAUACGCUCAUCAAUUGACGUUACUCGCAGAAGAAGCACCGGCUAACUCCGUGCCAGCAGCCGCGGUAAUACGGAGGGUGCAAGCGUUAAUCGGAAUUACUGGGCGUAAAGCGCACGCAGGCGGUUUGUUAAGUCAGAUGUGAAAUCCCCGGGCUCAACCUGGGAACUGCAUUUGAAACUGGCAAGCUAGAGUCUCGUAGAGGGGGGUAGAAUUCCAGGUGUAGCGGUGAAAUGCGUAGAGAUCUGGAGGAAUACCGGUGGCGAAGGCGGCCCCCUGGACGAAGACUGACGCUCAGGUGCGAAAGGCGUGGGGCAGCAAACAGGAUUAGAUACCCUGGUAGUCCACGCUGUAAACGAUGUCGAUUUUGGAGGUUGUGCCCUUGAGGCGUGGCUUCCGGAGCUAACGCGUUAAAGUCGACCGCCU
rnacentral:rRNA from 1 species